UACAGAGGUGGCAAGCGUUGUUCGGAAUUACUGGGCGUAAAGCGCGUGUAGGCGGUCCGGUAAGUCGGUUGUGAAAGUCCAGGGCUCAACCCUGGGAUGCCGACCGAUACUGUCGGACUAGAGUUCGGAAGAGGCGAGUGGAAUUCCCGGUGUAGCGGUGAAAUGCGCAGAUAUCGGGAGGAACACCAAUGGCGAAGGCAGCUCGCUGGGACGUUACUGACGCUGAGACGCGAAAGCGUGGGGAGCAAACAGG
rnacentral:rRNA from 1 species